rnacentral:rRNA from 1 species
UUAUCAAAAACAUGUCUUUUUGAAUUUUAUAUAAAGUCUGACCUGCCCAUUGAAAUUAUUUAAAAGGCCGCAGUAUUUUGACUGUGCAAAGGUAGCAUAAUCAUUAGUUUUUUAAUUGAAAGCUUGUAUGAAUGGUUAAAUGAAAUAUUUGCUGUUUCAUAAAAAAUUUAAUUAGAAUUUUAUUUUUUAGUUAAAAAGCUAAAAUUAUUUUAAAGGACGAGAAGACCCUAUAAAGUUUUAUAUAAAAUUUAUUUUAAUUUUUAAAUAAUUAUUUUUAUUUUAAUAGAUCUUAUAUUUUGUUGGGGUGAUGAUAAAAUUUAAUAAACUUUUAUUUUUAAAAACAUUUAUUAAUGAACAAUUGAUCCAGUUUUAUUGAUUAUAAAUUUAAAUUACUUUAGGGAUAACAGCAUAAUUUUUUUUUAAAGUUCUUAUUAAUAAAAAAGAUUGUGACCUCGAUGUUGGAUUAAAAUUAAUUUUAGGUGUAGAAGCUUGAAAAUUAAGUCUGUUCGACUUUUAAAAUUUUACGUGAUCUGAUC